rnacentral:lncRNA from 1 species
GCGUGAUUGGAGAGUCACAAAUGGAAAGAAAUACUAUAAUCAGUGGAGAGAAGAUGUGCACAGCUAUACAAGUGUAUGGUUCUGUGACAUACCACGAGGUGGGGGUGGACCUUUAUGACAUCUUCUCCCAGCAACCCCACAUAUUUCCCUUGCCCUCAGUGGGUCAGGAGUCUCCUGCUUGGCCUCAUCUUCGAAUCUGAAGCCUCUGAGUUCUGAAUAGUUCAGCCCCCUACUUUUUUAGAUGCCUCUGUGGCAAACCUUUGUUAUCUGACUUUUCUUUUAUUUGACAGAGCCUCGCUCUGUCGCCCAGGUUGGAGUGCAGUGGUGUGAUCUCGGCUGACUGCAAGUCCCGCCUCCUGGGUUCACGCCAUUCUCCUGCCUCAGCCUCCUGAGUAGCUGGGGACUACAGGCGCCUGCUACCACGCCCAGCUAAUUUUUUGUACUUUUAGUAGAGACGGGGUUUCACCGUGUUAGCCAGGAUUGUCUGGAUCUCCUGACCUCGUAAUCCACCCACCUGGCCUCCCAAAGUGCUAGGAUUACAGGUGUGAGCCACGGCGCCCUGAGGACUGGCAGACCCAUCUGACUUUCUUGGAGUAGAGGAGGAAGAGGAGGAAGAAGAGGUGCAGGAGGAAGACCAGUGUUGAUUGAGCCAGCGGGAAGCAGAAUCUCUGGAGGGCCAUGCAGAGCCUUGGGGACUGACCAAGUUCCCCCACUGAGGGGUCCCAGGCUGGACCGACAGGAGAGCCUGGGAGGAGUUCUGACCCUGGAGAGGAGGUUGGCCCAGCCAGGGAGACAUGUCCUGCUUCAGAGAGGCCUUUCUAAAAACAAAACCCAUCCCUGAGGUGAGAUUGGUGGCUGGGGUCGGGGGGACAGAGGACUUACUGCACAAUCCCGAGGUUAUUGGUGUAUUUUCUGACAUCAACCUGCUCAUGCCCCAAGUCCACUGCUGCCCCAGCUCGGUGUCCCUGAAACCCAGAGGAGGCCAGGAUAGUGGGGGUAAGGUGAGAGGUGUGGGAGGCCCAGGGAGGUGGGCAGCCCCUCCCCACCCUGUGAUCUUAGGAAGCCCAGGACCCUGUGACCAGGGCACAGCGGGAGAGGCGAGGCCCUGCUUCCCUUGAGGGAGCGGCCCAACUUGUACCUGCUCAUACUUAGUAAUGAUGAUAUUGCCUUGCCCCUGGGCAGGCAGGUUAUACGGGUCCCCAUCCAUCUCCAUCCUGCAAGACAAAGUCAUCCCAAGGCUCUCCCGCACCCAAGAGCUCCAGAGAACAGCCAAACCACACGCACUGCACUCCCAGACACACUCCAGUCUGGUGAGCCCCAUUCCACUACCCCUCCCAGAUGACAGGGGCCAGACUCAGUGGUCCCACCCCUGACUAGAUCUCUGAAGUCCUUGCCUCCAACCAGUGGUGGGCUCCUUCCUGAGGAUUUGAGCACACGGGAACCUGGACAGAGAGGCCUAUUGUCCCUGAACACCCCAAGGCAGACACACACCUGCCCUGGCAGGACAAACGGCGUCCACUUGCUGAGGGUGAAGUCCCCACGAUGGGCUGUUCUGGGC